ACAUUUCUUUGAGUUUUUAUUUAAAGUAUGCCCUGCCCUAUGAUUGAUAUUUUUAAAUGGCUGCAGUAUCUUGACUGUGCAAAGGUAGCAAAGUAAUUAGUUUCUUAAUUGGGAACUGGAAUGAAUGGGUUUAUGAAAGAUUAUUUUUAUUAUUUUUAUUAUUUGAAUUUAAUUUUUGAGUUAAAAAGCUUAAAUUUUUUAUUGGGACGAAAAGACCCUAUAGAACUUUAUUAAUUUUUAAGUUUUUAUCUUUUUGGUUAAUUUUUAGUUUUAAUUUUAAAUUUAAUUUUACUGGGGUGGUAGUUAAAUUAGAACUUUAAUUUUUUUUUUCAUUGAUUUUUGAUUUUUUUGAUCCUUGUUUAGAUUGAAAGAUAAAGUUACCUUAGGGAUAACAGCGUAAUUUCAAUGGAGAGUUCAUAUUUAUAUUGAAGUUUGCGACCUCGAUGUUGAAUUAAGAUAAAAUUUUGGGGUAGGUUCUAUUAUUUUGAGUCUGUUCGACUUUUAAAUUCUUACAUGAUUUG
rnacentral:rRNA from 1 species